GAUGUCUAUAUCAUAUAUUCAUAUUCUUUCAAGUAAUGUGUAUAGGUUUUGUAAGUAUCCCUGGAACAAAAUAUCUAGUCAUGCUUAUCUACUCUCAAGUCUCAACUAAAUAUCUUCUGAAAACCGUUGUGAGCAAAGUCACCGGUACAAGGACUAUCGAAGAACACAAGGAAUAUGUCACUUCUAACCUCCAGCUGCUAUUUGUUAUCAUGGUCAAAGCCUGCUCAAAUUCAUGGUUAUCUGAAUUUCAGCAAACAUUCAAAAUUGUUAAGGCAAGAAUGCACUACAGUGAGAUGCUGUAGUAGUAGAUCAUGGCAAACACCAAGAGCUCAACACAAUUAUUACGAAUUGCUUGGAGUUUCUGCUGAUUCAAAUGCCCAAGAAAUCAGAGAAGCUUACCGGAAGCUGCAGAAGCAGCAUCAUCCAGACAUUGUUGGCCAAAAGGGUCACAAGUAUACUCUAUUGUUGAAUGAGGCUUAUGAGGUGCUGAUGAAAGAUGAUCUAAGGAGAAAAUAUGACGAAUCAAUAAAUCAAAUGAGGAUAAGACUUGGGGAAAAUAACACUCCCUUGGGCAACAGCACGUGGAAAGGACCCUUAAGACCACAAGCUUUAUUUGUUGAUGAAAAUGCAUGCAUAGGAUGCAGAGAAUGUGUUUAUCAUGCAAGCAACACAUUUAUCAUGGAUGAAGCUCAUGGAUGUGCACGAGUCAAAGUUCAAUAUGGAGACACGGACCAAAAUAUUGAGAUACAUUAACAAGAGAAUGGAGUUCGUCUACAACGCAUUAGAUCAAGAAAUUCAGAAAUACGAAAAAGAACUUGAAAAAUGCAAGCAUUGUCAGCAAAUAAGGACACAGAUCCAAUCCCUAAAGAAGGCCAUCGAAGCAAUGAAAUCAACACAACAACCAAAACCAUCAGAGUUCAGCCAGCUAAGCGUGGUGGACAAAUCAGGAUUCAUUGAUGCAGUAAAGAGAUUUAAAAAUAUGAUUGACAACGUAAAUUCAAGGGAUAUAUCCCUAAAAUUUACGAAUAGUCAACCUAUUUUUAAUGAAGAAGAAGAAUGCUUGGUUCCAGCACAUCAAGUAAUCUUCAUGUCCGUCUUCCCAGGAAAUUUUCAACCAAUUGAUCAAGUUCAAGAUUUAACAAUCUACAGUCAUGAAGGAAGACUAGCCAGCACACUAGCAAGGGUCUUCGAAAGAACUCAAAAGAUAACAAGGGAAUCUCACACAAGAAUCAAUUAUAAAAGCAGAAAUACUUUGCUUGUGUCCAGUAAAAGAAAUGAAAUUGAAGAAAGAGAGAUGAGACUCUUAAUGGAAUUUGACUCAGCAUUCUACAACUUAUCUGGACUCUUAGAAAAGCUCCCCGAAGGGAUAAAGAGGAAUCUCUGCUAUCUGAUAAAAGACAAAGAAGACCACAAGUGCCAGCUAUGUGUCUCAGAGUUAUCCGAAGAAAGCAAUAAUAAAACGGAAUCAACCCACAUGAUAAAGGAAGAAGACAAUGCAUCUGAAGGUCACAUGAUGAAAGAGGAGGACAGCACAUCUGAAGCAUCUCUCAACAUUAUUGCAUAGUGACGUAAGCGCUUAGGUCAUAGAGCACCAACAAUGUAGCUGGUGCAAGAUAAUAAACAAUGACGUAAGCAAUGACGUCAUAAGAAGGGUAAGGAUGGGAAUUGUCCAUCAGACCCAACCAUUAUAAAUAGGUUGCUUAGGCAAUUGUAAAAGGCAUCAAACCAUAGAAAGCAGGAGGCUAAGAGUACUCGUAUGCUAGGAGAGCAAGGAGGAAGCUGCCGAGGCGAUUCUAUAGUUUGAAGAAGAAUUCCCUUAGGAAAAACCAAUUCUAAACUCCCCUCUGGAGUUAGUAUCUACAAUCUCCCCUCUGGAGAUAAAAACAUCUUAUGUAAAUAUUCUAAAUAAAGGAAGUUUUUCUCCAGAAAGGUACGCCUUUAUCCUAAUCUCAUAGUUAUGAAUUAUUUAGAAAGUUUAGAAUUAACGGAAGAAUCUGAUUAUUAUAAAUUAUCUGCCUUAUUAGAUAAUGAAAAACAUGCUGUUCUAAAAACAGAAUUAAAUCUCAAAUCAAAUGAAAAUUUUAAUAAACAAAAUCUUUUAAAAGAAGUUUUUAAUAGAAAAAAUAUAAUAUACUAUGGAAAAAUUCAACUUGAAGCCCCUAUAAAGAUAAAAUCUGCCAAUGGAGAACUUGAAAUAGCUUUGAUAAAUGAUGAAGAAUUGAGUAAACAGAUUGAGAAAAUUAAGGAUCAACAAAAAAGAUCUAAAAUUGGAUGGAUUCAUAUUAGUACUAUACAAGUCUUAAUCAAAUCUACAUAUAUAAAAGAAAUUAAUUCACCAAUAAGCUUAGCAAUCUGUGACAAAAUAAUUACUGAUGACCCAAUAGAUCAAAUAAUUGGAAUUGUUCAUGGAAACUUGGCAAACGUAAAUGUUAAAUUCAAUGCCCAUCUUGGAUAUGCUAUACCUUUAUCAACUGAAAAUCUUGGAAGAUCUAUAAGUUUGGCUUAUAAAUUUCACAGAAAAAAUCUAAUGGAACAAGACGAUGAACCAUUUUCAAUUACAUAUGCAAUAAAUUAUGCUUUAACAAAUAGCCAUCAUAGUAUAAUAUUUAAAAAUAGAGAAAGAAUUUAUGUGGAUGAAUUAUUUCAGAAAAUUGUAAAGACAGAAAUACCAAAAUAUAAAGCUAUUGAAAACCCAGUUCUUUUACUAAAAGAACCAUCAGGAAAAUUAGUCUCAUCAAAUUUUUAAAUAAGAGAAUCCAAAAUUAAUAGCCCGUUAAGUUUAUCUAA